rnacentral:rRNA from 1 species
CNGUCUGGUGCCAGCAGCCGCGGUAAUUCCAGCUCCAAUAGCGUAUAUUAAAGUUGUUGUGGUUAAAAAGCUCGUAGUAGAAGCUCGGGCUCCGGCCGACCGGUCCGCCUCACCGCGUGCACUGGUUCGGCCGGGCCUUCACCUUCUGCGGAACCGCAUCUCCUUCACUGGGGGNGUCGGGGAAACAGGACGUUUACUGUGAAAAAAUUAGAGUGCUCCAGGCAGGCCUAUGCUCGAAUAGAUUAGCAUGGAAUAAUGGAAUAGGACGUGUGGUCUUAUUUCGUUGGUUUCUAGGACCGCCGUAAUGAUUAAUAGGGACAGUCGGGGGCAUCAGUAUUCAAUCGUCAGAGGUGAAAUUCUUGGAUCGAUUGAAGACUAACUACUGCGAAAGCAUUUGCCAAGGAUGUUUUCAUUUAUCAGGAACGAAAGUUAGGGNAUNGAAGACGAUCAGAUACCGUCGUAGUCUUAACCAUA